GUAGAGAACCCAUUCAUUGUACCGGGGCGGGCCCGACUAUUUUAACGCCGCGAUUGUGAUCCUGCCAAGCCAAAUAUAGUCGUAGACAGGUAUUUUUAGCCACAAAGCGUGUCCCCGUUUUCUCAUCUGGCCAAAGCGCGGCGUUAGACUGCGGAGUCUGAAAAUGAGCCGCGGCUCUUGAAAGUGUGAAGCUGCUUUUUUCGGCUGGAUACUUUUUUUUACAGUCAGCUGAUUGCAGCCGUGCCCCCAGAGAGGGAGUGGGGGAGAGAGGAGCUGACAGGGGAGAAUCCCUCUAACCACACAGGUUUUCCUCUCGCUCCGGGGGAGAAAAUAAAGAAAAAAAAAAAGGGUGGAACAGAGCCUAGAUCCGAAGAUAAAUAGCCGGCCCGUCUUCAAACAGACACGUUCAACAGGUUCGGUGAAUGCAUCUCUUGAUUGAUAGUCUGACUGAGCAGCGCUUCAUGAGAUGUCCUGGACAUUAUUGCUUUAAACCCUCUCCACAACCAGCUCCCUAACCUUCCUUGUGUUACUUGGUCCUCAUAAGGCUGUAUGUUCACUAAAGUUCCCUAAAUGGUAAAAGGGAAGUUGGUUGCACCGGGUUUUAUUCAAUGUUAUAGCAGUAAAGGAGACUGAAUGUGUAUGUACGCAACACUGUUUUAGUUGAAAAUGUAGAAAAGCAUGUAUGAUUAUCUUUCCACUUCACUAUUGUGCUCUACUUGUAUCGGUCCGUCUUAUCAAAUCUCAAUAAAAUACACUGAAGUUUAUGGUAAACUUUGGGUUUAAUGGUU